rnacentral:rRNA from 1 species
UACAGAGGGCGCGAGCGUUGUCCGGAAUUACUGGGCGUAAAGGGCUCGUAGGCGGCCAACUAAGUCAGACGUGAAAUCCCCAGGCUCAACCUGGGAACUGCGUCCGAUACUGGAUGGCUUGAAUCCGGGAGAGGGAUGCAGAAUUCCAGGUGUAGCGGUGAAAUGCGUAGAUAUCUGGAGGAAUACCGGUGGCGAAGGCGGCAUCCUGGACCGGCAUUGACGCUGAGGAGCGAAAGCCAGGGGAGCAAACGGG